GUCGAUGAAACAUUGUGGAAAGUGAUAUUUUUGGAUUCGUAAUGCGAAGGUCGUAGGUUCGACUCCUAUUAUCGGCACCA
rnacentral:tRNA from 2 species